rnacentral:rRNA from 1 species
UACAGAGGGGGCUAGCGUUGUUCGGAAUUACUAGGCGUAAAGGGCGCGUAGGUGGCCUGUUAAGUCGAACGUGAAAUCCCCGGGCUCAACCCGGGAACUGCGUCCGAGACUGGCAGGCUCGAAUCCGGGAGAGGGAUGUGGAAUUCCAGGUGUAGCGGUGAAAUGCGUAGAUAUCUGGAGGAACACCGGUGGCGAAGGCGGCAUCCUGGACCGGUAUUGACGCUGAGGCGCGAAAGCCAGGGGAGCAAACGGG